UUUCACAAAUGUGAAAUCAAAUUAUUGACUACGAAAACAAACAUCCAUUCAUAGAAAAUCUAUAAAAGCAACAAAAUUUUGCAAAUCGGUUGUAUUUCUGUCAUGAAUUUCAUCAUGACAUUUGGACCAGUCCCGCGUAUUUUUCGUAAUAUAAUUUCGAUCGCGUGCAUACUCACGAUGAGCAAGUACGUUUCUGCCUCAUUCUGCCCAGUCAGUUAUCAAAUAAUUGGACCAGUAUGUGGCACAGAUGGUGUCACUUAUCCGUCGAUGUGUGAUCUAGAAUCCGCAAGACUACUAAACAACAGACUGGACGUCGCCCUUCUAAAACCUUGUAAUAAUUACUGCAACGAGCAAUGGGAACCGAUAUGUGGUACAGAUAUGGUGACAUACACCAACUUUUGUUUGUUUGAACACGGGCAGAAGGCUAAUACUAAUCUCAAAGUGCUUCAUGUUGGUCAAUGUAUGUUACCGUACGAAGAUGAUGUUGAUAAAAGAGAGAAAAGAGUUAAUACAUUCAACAAUAAUUAUUACAAUCAUGUAUAAUGCGUAAGUAAAGGUAUCACGACCAUGAUCAAAUUGAAAAGGAUUCCUUGAAUCAAGGAAAUGCACCCGGCACCACGAUUACAUUGCUCAAGUAAUUUUUUGUACAAUUAUUUUGUUAAUAAAACAUUAUUUGAUAAUA